UUGGUUUUAGAUCGAUGAUUUUGAUAGGAGUGCUGUUGGUGCACUUUGUGAAUACCAGUUAAACCAAUAAAGUUGAGAGCAUUCAAUCUACGUCUUUUGCUUUUUAUCUACUGGUGAUUUUCUCGAUUCCGACGAUCUGAUCAGCGGCACAAGAGCGGCGCAAUCAAGUUAAUCUCAAGAGCGGCAUAACCAGAUUGGCGGCAUAGGAGCAGCGUAACCAGAGGUAAUAUCAGGAGUAACGUAACCAGAGAUAAUAAUCCAUCAAUCAUCCAAUGUCAGACAUCUCAAACAUCGCCAAUAUCCUUAAUUUAUGGUUGAGUUAAACACUACACAUUAUAAAUGAACUUGAUUGUUUUUGAUAAAAGAGAUGCGACGCAAAUAAUCCACACUGGAAUUGCUCAGUCACAGAAGAAGAAACUAACACCAGAAGAUCAAGAAAAUCCCAAGCACAGACUGCAUGCGCUGAUGUUUCUUGUCAUGGUCUCUCAGCUUUUGGCUUGAGCCAGUGGACGAUCUUCCAUAAUGAUUCACCAAAUGACGAUCAAGAUUGGGCAACCGACCACUACAACAGCCAAUCCAUCGAUCGUCCUAUGAUGAUGAUGAUGAUCGAUCCGAUCUGCAGUAGCAAACAAUCAAUUCAGAAAAAUAGAUUCAGUGCUUGUUACAUGGUCAAUCAGAAAGCAGUGAUAUGAUAUGAUAUAAUUAAACAAAGAACAGAUAAUGCAAAGCCGGAUUUGAAGCACAUUGCCUGAUUUCAGGGGAUUUUGCCGGUACAAAUGGACUCUCACGAUGUCAAAAUUUUCAACUUGGAUUACGUAUUGGUAGGCUCGAUCGAUGUCGAUGGAAGUUUACCUGAAUUUUGAGGUAAAAUGAUCUUAACUUUGGUGAUGGCUAUGUCGUUACAUGGAGCGAUUAGAAAAGGUAAUAUACAGCGUUUGGGACAGUAAAACGUUGACUGAUAUCUGCUGCUUCGACUUUUGGAACUGAAGAGAACGAUUUGUUCAAGAUUGUUCAUCACCUGUCCCAUCGUUAAUGUCGUUUGCCUGUGCUGGAUUGUGAAGAGAUGUUGGGCGAAAAAAAUCACCGGUCUUUUUCAAAGUUUUGCAGAACAGAACAAAUGAAAGGGCAUCUAGAUGAUCCAC